rnacentral:rRNA from 1 species
UGAACGCUAGCGGCAGGCCUAACACAUGCAAGUCGAGGGGCGAUCGCGGGGUAGCAAUACUCUGGCGGCGACCGGACGAAAGGGUGAGUAACGCGUGAGCAACAGUCGCCCGGUACGUGGGGGAGUAGUCAGUUAGGAAACGAUGACGUAACUACCCCGUAACAACAGACGUCCGCAGUGGUCUUGUUUGAGAGAUUCAUUGAUACCGGAUUGGCUCGCGUACCAUUAGCUAGUUGGCGGGGUAACGGCCCACCAAGGCGACGAUGGUUAGGGGUUCUGAGAGGAAGGUCCCCCACAUUGGAACUGAGACACGGUCCAGACUCCUACGGGAGGCAGCAGUGAGGAAUAUUGGACAAUGGCCGGGAGGCUGAUCCAGCCAUGCCGCGUGCCGGGAGGACGGCCCUAUGGGUUGUAAACCGCUUUUGUCAGGGAGCAAUAAGGUCCACGUGUGGUCCGAUGAGAGUACCUGGCGAAUAAGCAUCGGCUAACUCCGUGCCAGCCGCAGC